GACGAAGGUGGCUAGCGUUGCUCGGAUUUACUGGGCAUAAAGCGCGCGUAGGCGGCUUUGCAAGUCGAGUGUGAAAUCCCCAGGCUUAACCUGGGAACUGCAUUCGAGACUGCAUAGCUAGAGUAUGGGAGAGGGAAGUGGAAUUUCAGGUGUAGCGGUGAAAUGCGUAGAUAUCUGAAGGAACAUCAGUGGCGAAAGCGACUUCCUGGACCAAUACUGACGCUCAUGUGCGAAAGCGUGGGGAGCAAACAGG
rnacentral:rRNA from 1 species